GAAGAGGGUAAUAGGUUCGAGGUGGAAGCGUGGUGACACGUGGAGCUGACGAAUACUAAUCGAUCGAAGACUUAAUCAAUUU
rnacentral:rRNA from 1 species